GAUUGGCAAGAAAGUUGAUAAAGAAAAGUAAUUCAUUCUCAUUCCCAGCUUCCAUGAGAUCCCAUGAAACCAAUGACUUGUUUUCUUUUCCAAGAAAAUAUGUUGAGCCUUCAUCCAUAAACUGUGCAUACUACGAUUUACACGAACUUGAGGCUAUUGAAAUUAACCAACAAGCCAAUUUAUAAGAUCACAGAACAUCCCUGGCAUUGAUGCUAAACAAACAACACAGAAAAGCAUUGUGAAUCAAUACGGGUGAUCUGGGAGAUUCAUUCACUUUUACCAUCUUAUUUUUAUAAUAUCAAGUCAUAUCCUUUAAUUAUUUGUGCUCCUAUGUUGCAUGUUCCAUGAUAAUAUUGUAAAGGAAGGGCGCUUCAGAUCUUAAAUGUAUCUUACAUGUGUUUUACUGCCUAACCACAUUCCAAGCUACUGAAUAAAACAAAACCGAAAUUGGAGCAAUAUACAAGGAUGAACUCAAAAAAAAUUAGUAACCUUAUUUCUGUCAGGAUUACAUGGAUUGCUAUAUUACUUGCGCUGUACAAUGCAAGUGCUACUUCCUGUUCUUUAGCUCCACAGAAGGGCUUCAAGGACAUUUAUGAUGCAAAUCUGCGAACCAGUAAUCCAACCCCCACAGCAGCUGCAAUGCUGAAGGGAGAUGCAGAUACACAGACAUCACUGCUAUGCAACCAAAAACAAGCCCCUGCAUAUUUGAUGUUUUCAUUUCAUCCUGCAGUAUUAUUAACAUUAGAAGGCACUUCUGUUGGAUUGGAUGGUGGAGUUUGGGGUCGAGGUGUGCUGACAUUUCCCAUGCGAUAGUCAUCAUGAAGUGUACCAAAUUCAUUCCACUCAACCCCAGCUAUCGCGGAGUUAGGGAACUCAGAAUUUAAUGCUCAAUAUACGAUGAAGUGAUAGCAUAACAAUUAGGUAAAAAGAAUGCAAUGUUUUAGCAAGGAUACGUUCAGUGCGCCAUAUGUCUGUUAUGCUAACACCAGCAUCUGAUAAAAGCCAGUAAUCCGCAUCACUCUGCAAACAAACAAAAUUAAGAAUAAACAAAAUUUAAAAUAUAUGCAAAAUGUGAAAAUAGUUCACUUCUUG
rnacentral:misc_RNA from 1 species